AGAGUUGAUCCUGGCUCAGAACGAACGCUGGCGGCAGGCUUAACACAUGCAAGUCGAGCGCCCCGCAAGGGGAGCGGCAGACGGGUGAGUAACGCGUGGGAAUCUACCCAGCUCUACGGAAUAACUCAGGGAAACUUGUGCUAAUACCGUAUACGUCCGAUAGGAGAAAGAUUUAUCGGAGUUGGAUGAGCCCGCGUUGGAUUAGCUAGUUGGUGGGGUAAUGGCCUACCAAGGCGACGAUCCAUAGCUGGUCUGAGAAGAUGAUCAGCCACACUGGGACUGAGACACGGCCCAGACUCCUACGGGAGGCAGCAGUGGGGAAUAUUGGACAAUGGGCGAAAGCCUGAUCCAGCCAUGCCGCGUGAGUGAUGAAGGCCCUAGGGUUGUAAAGCUCUUUCAACGGUGAAGAUAAUGACGGAACCGAGAGAG
rnacentral:rRNA from 1 species